GGUUCGACAUGGCUCAGAUUGAACGCUGGCGGGAUGUUUACACACAUGCAAGUCGAACGGCAGCACGGACUUCGGUCUGGUGGCGAGUGGCGAACGGGUGAGUAAUGUAUCGAACGUGCCUAGUAGCGGGGAUAACUACGCGAAAGCGUAGCUAAUACCGCAUACGCCCUUCGGGGGAAAGCGGGGACCUUUCGGGCCUCGCACUAUUAGAGCGGCCGAUAUCGGAUUAGCUAGUUGGUGGGGUAACGGCUCACCAAGGCGACGAUCCGUAGCUGGUUUGAGAGGACGACCAGCCACACUGGGACUGAGACACGGCCCAGAUCACGGGAGGCAGCAGUGGGGAAUUUGACAAUGGGGGAAACCCUGAUCCAGCCAUCCCGCGUGUGCGAUGAAGGCCUCUCGGGUUGUAAAGCACUUUUGGCAGGGAAGAAACGGCACGGGAUAAUACCCCGUGCAACUGACGGUACCUGCAGAAUAAGCACCGGCUAACGCACGUGCCAGCAGCCGCGGUAAUACGUAGGUGCAAGCGUUAAUCGGAAUUACUGGGCGUAAAGCGUGCAGGCGGUUCGGAAAGAAAGAUGUGAAAUCCCAGAGCUUAACUUUGGAACUGCAUUUUUAACUACCGAGCUAGAGUGUGUCAGAGGGAGGUGGAAUUCCGCGUGUAGCAGUGAAAUGCGUAGAUAUGCGGAGGAACACCGAUGGCGAAGGCAGCCUCGAUAACACUGACGCUCAUGCACGAAAGCGUGGGGAGCAAACAGGAUUAGAUACCCUGGUAGUCCACGCCCUAAACGAUGUCAAUCAGCUGUUGGGGCCUUCGGGCCUUGGUAGCGCAGCUAACGCGUGAAGUUGACCGCCUGGGGAGUACGGUCGCAAGAUUAAAACUCAAAGGAAUUGACGGGGACCCGCACAAGCGGUGGAUGAUGUGGAUUAAUUCGAUGCAACGCGAAAACCUUACCUACCCUUGACAUGUCUGGAAUCCCGAAGAGAUUUGGGAGUGCCCGGCAAGAGAACCGGAACACAGGUGCUGCAUGGCUGUCGUCAGCUCGUGUCGAGAUGUUGGGUUAAGUCCCGCAACGAGCGCAACCCUUGUCAUUAGUUGCUACGAAGGGGCACUUAAUGAGACUGCCGGUGACAAACCGGAGGAAGGUGGGAUGACGUCAAGUCCUCAUGGCCCUUAUGGGUAGGGCUUCACACGUCAUACAAUGGUCGGGACAGAGGGUCGCCAACCCGCGAGGGGAGCCAAUCCCAGAAACCCGAUCGUAGUCCGAUCGCAGUCUGCAACUCGACUGCGUGAAGUCGGAAUCGCUAGUAAUCGCGGAUCAGCAUGUCGCGGUGAAUACGUUCCCGGGUCUUGUACACACCGCCCGUCACACCAUGGGAGUGGGUUUUACCAGAAGUAGUUAGCCUAACCGUAAGGAGGGCGAUUACCACGGUAGGAUUCAUGACUGGGGUGGGUCGUAACAAGGUAG
rnacentral:rRNA from 1 species